UAAGUCUAACCCAUUUAUUAACAAACAGAUUAAAGUUAUUAAAAAUAAAAUAAUCCCAGAAAAAUAAUUAAAAUGGCCUUAUUACAACUCAAAACCAAACAAUAAUAUUAAUAAGAUAAAACUUAUAAAGAAAUAAAUCGGCUACUUAUUGCAAUUAAAAGAAACAGAAACAGUAGUGUGGCCAUCUCUGAGUCCUUCGCAGCUCCAAACCAUCUAAGCUUGGGUAUUACCUGCACAGUUAGAAACGGGGUGAGUUUACGAAAACUCAGUGUGUAAUCCCAAUAACAAACAAAUAGUGAAAACAUAGUAUCAGUACAAUCUGGGCCAAAGCCCUAUUUAGUCUUGACAUAUACUGGGCCGAAGCCUUUCAUUUAACGGUUACUGGGCUGAAGCCUUUUCAUAAAUCAUAUCACUGGGCCGAAGCCUUUUCAUAAAUCAUAUCAUAGGGCCGAAGCCUUUACUGUAAACGGUAUGGCCCUUAGGCCCAUUUCAAUAUCACAUGUAAGGUCAAUAGAUGUAUGCAAGCCCAUUUGGGGAGACUACUCGACCCACCAUCCGCUACUCUCCACCCGUACCAACCAACACACCAUGUGGGGAAUGAUUCAACCCACCCAACCAACACACCACUGGCAGCAUAGCUGCUUUAUCAUAUAUCUGGAGGCCUAGCCUCUUUUAAUAACUGGGGCAAAGCCUUUUUCGGUAAACUGGGGCAAAGCCCUUUUCAAUAAACUGGGGCAUAAGCCCUUUUCAAUAAACUAGGGCAUAAGCCCUUUUCGGUAAACUAGCGCAUAAGCCCUUUUCAAUAAACUGAGGCAUAAGCCCUUUUGCACUUCCUCCAUCCAUAUAAAAACCCAACCCAAUGCAACAUGUCAUGUAUGCAGAAUGUCAUGCCCAUAUUUGAAUAAAUAAUCAUAGUCAAGUCAUUCAUAUCACCAACAUAUAUUCACAAUCAAUCCGCCAACCACACAGUCCAAGUCAGUCACUUGCCCACAAGGGCAAAACAGUCAUUUUUCACAUUAUAAGGGUAUUUUCGUAAUUUUACCAAAUAUCAGGAUUUUCCAUGUUCAUUACAAUUAUCAAUAUUUCCGAGUGUUUAAACAAUGAUCUUUAACCCACUUUACCAAAUUCGGGCUUUUGGGCCCAAAACCCCUAAUGGGCCCUACGAAUGCUGAUUUAGCCUACUUAACCCAAAUUUUACAACAAUACUAACCGUGUUAACGUGCAACUUUUCAAAAUUCCAUUUUCUAUCAAUUCUACCCAAAUGGGUCCGAAAGCCCAUUGGGCCCAAUUUUAGCCCAUUGAGGCCCAACUUACCAUCGUGCACAAAAUUGAGUUUUUACCUGUUCCAUCGAUCCAAACACUGAUCUUAUCGUAUUUAUCGCAUCUACCCAAACGCAACAUUACAAGUUCCCAAAAUAUCGGUAUUUUAGCAUUUCGGCUUCUCAGCAAAUUUUAAUCUAAGCUAUUACGAGGGUUAGUACACACCUGUUACGGGUUGAAGUUGAAACGUUUCCAAAAUCAAUUGCCAACGAUAACCACCACCUGUCACUCAAACUUAACUAAUCCAAUAUCAAUAUAUGUAAAUCCUAAGCACAUCAGUCAUACGAAACAUAAGGGCAUAUUCGUCAUUUUACCAUAUAGGGGUAUUACGGUCACUUUACCCUACAGAGGCUUUACGGUCUCUUUACCCUACAGGGGCUUUACGGUCUUUUUACCUAAUAGGGGUAUUUUAGUCAUUUCAUCCUACAAAGGUGUUUUGGUAAAUCUACAAACCAAGGGUAUUUUAGUAAUUUUGUAAAUCAAUGGUAUUUCCAUAAUUUUUAGAAAAUCGAGGGUAUUUCUGUAACUUUGUAAAUCAGGGGUAUUUUGGUAAUUUUACAAAUUGAAGGUAUUUCGAUAAUUUCACAAACCAGUGGUAUUUUCGUAAUUUUAUAAACUAGGGGUAUUUUGGUAAUUUUACAAAUUGAGGGUAUUUUUGUAAUUUUACAAACCAAGGGUAUUUUAGCAAUUUUACAAACUAGGGUAUUUUGGUAAUUUUACUAAUCGAGGGUAUUUUGGUAAUUUUGUAAACCGAGGGUAUUUUAGUAAUUUUGUAAAUCGAGGGUAAAACAGUAAUUCUGUAAAUCAAGGGUAAAAUAGUAAUUCUAUAAAUCGAGGGUUAAACGGUAAUUAUAUAAAUCGAGGGUACUUUGGUAAUUUUACAAUUUGAGGGUAUUUCAGUAAUUUGGUAAACUAAAGUAUUCUAAACAAGGAUAACAAUACGAAUGGGCCUAAAGCCUAUUCUCGGCCCAAAUGGGCCCACACGCUCGUGUGGCCCUUUUAGCCCAAAUCUAGCCACAGAUAUGAGAUUCACCUAGCCUAGUCUAAUAUUUACUACACAAUCAAAUAACUUAUCUAAUUGGGCCCGUAGGCCCAUUGGGCCCACAUGACCCCUUUCGGCCCAUCGCGGCCCGAAGUAGCCAUCCUACAACUAGAGUAGCGAGAACUACACACCUGAUUGGCGACUGGAGUUAAUCCAAGCUCCAAGCACUCUUAGCCGACGCCCAACCCAAACGAGCACGCCAUACAGCGAAAGGGAUCAGCCAAGAAAGG
rnacentral:lncRNA from 1 species